UACUUAUGGGCACGUUGUGCGUACGUCUUUCACCUGUUCAGCUAUCGGUUUGAAAUUUGUAUUUUUUGUCCGAGCUGCCCCUUGAAAGACUAAUGCCACCGAUGCCCUCUUCUCUC